CUGUUUGACCUCGGAUCAGGUAGGGAUACCCGCUGAACUUAA
rnacentral:rRNA from 1 species